UGGUCCAAUCAAAUCACGUCUCCAUGGUAAAUGCAAGGUGAUGAACUAAAAAACUCUACUACAGUUUGCUUGUUGUCCACCCAAAACCAUACUUGGAAACCAUCUUUAGUUACAAACGGGCUAAAACGGAGAAAAUCCUUUUUCACAUUCAUGAGGCUACCCCAGAAAUGGGAGUCCUCACUUUUCCAAUAAACAUGGGAAUAAGGCUUUGGGCCUAAGUACUUAUUUCAGAUUAUAUGUUGCCAUAUCCAUCAGAUCUCAACAACUUGAACAACCAUUUGCUUUGGAGUGCAUCAUUCUUUAGCUUGAAAUAAUGAAUUCCUAACUGCCCUGUUCCUUAGGAUGGCAUACUAUGCUCGACUUGGCAAGGUGAUAUUUCCUUCUUCAGUUGUCGCUUUGAGAAAAAAAUACACUGGAUCUAGAAUAAUCUAUCUUCUCCAGCACCCCUCUUGGGAUUGCAAAGAAAGACAUCAUGUAUACAUGGGUAGACUACUACUAAGAACUCAGGGCUAGUCUUCCCCCAGUCGAUAGAUGUUUUCCUUUCUAGCUAUAUAUUCAACUUCUCAAAACAUUUUUCCACCUUAUGCUAGUCUGCUUUCCAUAACUUUCUAAGGUGAAUUAGAAUUCCUUAAUAAGAUAUAUGGAAAUUUUCCAGAUUGCACCCAAAAAAAGCAUGCCCCAAGGAGAUGGAGAUCCUACUAAGUGUAACACCCAAAAAAAUGGAUUUCGAUUAAUAGGAAUUAAUUUGAUGCAAUUAAGUAAUUUUAUGAGCAUUUCAUGUAGUAAAUAAAUAAAUUUUGAUGAAAUUAAAAUUUAUCAUAAGAUUAGAAACUGUAUAUGCAUUCUUGCUGGAGCAUAGUUAUUUUUGUGCUGCUGACAUUUGUUUGGAACUUAAUUGCUUUCAAAAUUCUAUUUAUAAAAAGGUUUCGAAAAAGGAAAAAAAAGAAAAUAAAGAGAGAUGGCUUACCUGUUCUUGGUUGGGCCAGAAGCCGAGGCCCAAGCCUCCCACCAGCAGCCCAGCACCCCUACCCCCCCC
rnacentral:lncRNA from 1 species